GAUGAACGCUGGCGGCGUGCCUAAUACAUGCAAGUCGAGCGAACGGACGAGAAGCUUGCUUCUCUGAUGUUAGCGGCGGACGGGUGAGUAACACGUGGAUAACCUACCUAUAAGACUGGGAUAACUUCGGGAAACCGGAGCUAAUACCGGAUAAUAUUUUGAACCGCAUGGUUCAAAAGUGAAAGACGGUCUUGCUGUCACUUAUAGAUGGAUCCGCGCUGCAUUAGCUAGUUGGUAAGGUAACGGCUUACCAAGGCAACGAUGCAUAGCCGACCUGAGAGGGGGAUCGGCCACACUGGAACUGAGACACGGUCCAGACUCCUACGGGAGGCAGCAGUAGGGAAUCUUCCGCAAUGGGCGAAAGCCUGACGGAGCAACGCCGCGUGAGUGAUGAAGGUCUUCGGAUCGUAAAACUCUGUUAUUAGGGAAGAACAUAUGUGUAAGUAACUGUGCACAUCUUGACGGUACCUAAUCAGGAAGCCACGGCUAACUACGUG
rnacentral:rRNA from 1 species